rnacentral:rRNA from 1 species
CCUACGGGUGGCUGCAGUGGGGAAUAUUGGACAAUGGGGGGAACCCUGAUCCAGCCAUGCCGCGUGUGUGAAGAAGGCCCUCGGGUUGUAAAGCACUUUCAGUGAGGAAGAACGCCUGGUGGUUAAUACCCAUCAGGAAAGACAUCACUCACAGAAGAAGCACCGGCUAACUCCGUGCCAGCAGCCGCGGUAAUACGGAGGGUGCGAGCGUUAAUCGGAAUUACUGGGCGUAAAGCGCGCGUAGGUGGCUUGAUAAGCCGGUUGUGAAAGCCCCGGGCUCAACCUGGGAACGGCAUCCGGAACUGUCAAGCUAGAGUGCAGGCGAGGAAGGUAGAAUUCCCGGUGUAGCGGUGAAAUGCGUAGAGAUCGGGAGGAAUACCAGUGGCGAAGGCGGCCUUCUGGACUGACACUGACACUGAGGUGCGAAAGCGUGGGUAGCAAACAGGAUUAGAUACCCUAGUAGUC